UACGUAGGGUGCAGGCGUUAUUCGGAAUUACUGGGCGUAAAGCGUGCGCAGGCGGUUUGCUAAGACAGGUGUGAAAUCCCCGGGCUUAACCUGGGAACUGCGCUUGUAACUAGCAGGCUAGAGUGUGGCAGAGGGGGGUGGAAUUCCAGGUGUAGCAGUGAAAUGCGUAGAGAUGUGGAGGAACACCGAUGGCGAAGGCAGCCCCCUGGGUCAAGAUUGACGCUCAUGCACGAAAGCGUGGGGAGCAAACAGG
rnacentral:rRNA from 1 species